UACAGAGGGUGCGAGCGUUAAUCGGAAUUACUGGGCGUAAGGCGCGCGUAGGUGGUUCAGCAAGUUGGGUGUGAAAGCCCUGAGCUCAACCUGGGAACUGCAUCCAAAACUACUGAGCUAGAGUACGGUAGAGGGUAGUGGAAUUUCCUGUGUAGCGGUGAAAUGCGUAGAUAUAGGAAGGAACACCAGUGGCGAAGGCGACUACCUGGACUGAUACUGACACUGAGGUGCGAAAGCGUGGGGAGCAAACAGGAUUAGAUACCCUUGUAGU
rnacentral:rRNA from 1 species